rnacentral:rRNA from 1 species
UAAGACGAACCGUGCGAACGUUGUUCGGAAUCACUGGGCUUAAAGGGCACGUAGGCGGGCUGUCAAGUCUGGGGUGAAAUCCCACGGCUCAACCGUGGAACUGCCUUAGAUACUGACGGCCUCGAGGGAGGUAGGGGCGUGCGGAACUGUGAGUGGAGCGGUGAAAUGCGUUGAUAUUCACAGGAACUCCGGUGGCGAAAGCGGCGCGCUGGACCUCUUCUGACGCUGAGGCGCGAAAGCUAGGGGAGCAAACG